CAAGACCAAAAACUAGUCAUCUACCAGAUAGCUGGAGGAGCACUGCCCUAGAGCUCUGGUGCGAACAGCUUGCUUUCUGUUACCAGCUCUGUGGCAAAGAGGAGACGUGCUCAGAAAUCACUUAGGCAUAAAGGAAGCAAGAAAGAAGUUACAAAAGCAUCAAGAAAGUUGGUCUAGGGGCAAGGAAUGCCGAAGACAGUGAUGAGAUCACGGUCACAUAAAGCUGGAUGGUCAGAUACAACAGUGAAAAAGAAGAUAGCAGAUCGCAUAUUGCAAAAACCACUCAAGAUGGUUCAAGAAGAUACUGAAACUGGAAAAGUUCUCAGCACUUUAUACAAAUAAAGUUUCAUUAAUCUCUUAUUUGAAGACAUUAUAAUUUUUGAUAAAUGCUACCUCAGUUAAGUUUUUAAAUAUAUACGCCAACUUAAAUCUCACAAAUAUUAGCCCUGAUAAGGCUAGUUCAAUUCUAAUGCAGUUAAUAGAAAAUAUGGUUCAAGGCAGAAUAAAGCAGGCUUACAAAGUACUGGACAGCAGGUGGCCCAAAUGAGUGAAGCAGGCUUCACAGCCAAAGACCUUAACAAUCUACCACUGCUCAGCUCCAGCCAACUACUGCCUUCAGGGAAUACAGACAAAAAAAAAAAAAAAAAAAAAA